AUACCUUUCUUGGCCUUUAGACUAAAAUCAAGUGUAAUAUCAGAUAACCUGAGUCUACGCGAUCAGGGGUGAGCUUUAUCUUUGCCCUGAUAUUAAUUUUUUUUUAAAGGGAAGGACCUAUGGUAGCUUCCUACUAGGGGUUCCCUUUGUGUCACCCUUGCUUUGCACACCCGUGAGGGUUUGGCACACCUACC
rnacentral:snRNA from 1 species